rnacentral:pre_miRNA from 1 species
GUGGUGGUGGUGGGGCCCUCAGCCCAGAUUGUGAGAGGGUGCAGGCCAGGCUGAGAGACCCCACCAGCGCAGG